GCCACCGCUUUGACCUGUGUGUUUUGGUAGCUGACCCAUCGGCAGAAAGAGAGAGGCGUUGAUCUGUCUCCCUUGGUAGUUGAUCCAUAGACUGAGAGACUGAGAGACUGAGAGAGAGAGAGGAGUUUGAUCCACAGAGAAACAGAGAGAUAGAGAGAGGGCGAAGAGUUUGCAUGAUCGAGCCCGGAGUUCAGUAGCCUGGAGAUUUGACGAUUUUUGUCUCACGGAUAUAGGUCGUGGCUUGCUAAUCAGUUUUGGUUCUGCUUCUUUAACAUCCCUGUUUGAUAUCUUCAAGAUUUAUUCACAUGUCAAUGAUUUGCUGUGGAUAAGAAGGAAAGGGACUGUGAUAGAGGUCGAAAGAGACUCUGAGAGCGAAGAGGCUCUUUUGCUUUAACCAAAACACUCCAAUAGCUCAAGUGAAACUCGCCUGCAGUCUAUUUGUUCUUUUGAUUUGACGAUGAAGGUCUCUAAUCUGACGAUCCGUACUAUAGCAUUUAAAAGGUAAUCCCCAUCUUAAAGUUUCCUCGCCGAUGCUUGAUUAGAAACUUGAAAAACAAACACAUUCAUCAGAAGCUUGGUUGAGACGGAGGGACGAGAAGAUCGAGGAGGACGAAGAUGGAACUGGGUCUUAAGAUACUCCAAAAUGGUCCAAGUGAGGGAUAGAAGAGGGGGGAAGAUCUCGGCGAGAAUAGACCGGGUGGAAGGUAUUUUUGCUUCUUUGGUGGCUUUGAUGUUCAAUUGCGUGAAGAAAGAUGACAUUGAUUACUCUCCUUAAGAAGAGGGCGAGUGGAGAUAUUGAAGGGUUGAGUAGUUUUGAUGGGGAUGUUCUUCAGUCGACCAUAUUCAAAUCCGGGGUUGACUUCAAGAACAACAAUGUUUUGGUGGUUGUCUCUGGGAAUUCUGGCAUGGAAAUUGCUUUGGAUCUGGCAAACGAUGGUGCAAAGACUU